UGUGUGUGUGUGUGUGUUUCUUUAACUUGUGGACAAAGCCUUUCAGAUAGAUGCAAAAACCAAAUUCUCUUUUGCAAUCAGAACUCAUCGUUCAGUAUGAGCUUUGAUACACUUAAGAAGGAAUAUG
rnacentral:snoRNA from 1 species